AGUGGACGCUGGCGGUAGGCCUAACACAUGCAAGUCGAACGGCAGCACAGUAAGAGCUUGCUCUUACGGGUGGCGAGUGGCGGACGGGUGAGGAAUACAUCGGAAUCUACUUUUUCGUGGGGGAUAACGUAGGGAAACUUACGCUAAUACCGCAUACGACCUACGGGUGAAAGCAGGGGAUCUUCGGACCUUGCGCGAUUGAAUGAGCCGAUGUCGGAUUAGCUAGUUGGCGGGGUAAAGGCCCACCAAGGCGACGAUCCGUAGCUGGUCUGAGAGGAUGAUCAGCCACACUGGAACUGAGACACGGUCCAGACUCCUACGGGAGGCAGCAGUGGGGAAUAUUGGACAAUGGGCGCAAGCCUGAUCCAGCCAUACCGCGUGGGUGAAGAAGGCCUUCGGGUUGUAAAGCCCUUUUGUUGGGAAAGAAAAGCAGCAGGUUAAUACCCCGCUGUUCUGACGGUACCCAAAGAAUAAGCACCGGCUGACUUCGUG
rnacentral:rRNA from 1 species